rnacentral:lncRNA from 1 species
CUCCUCCAGAGUGAUGUGUCUUGGCCAGAGCCCAGACCUCCAAGAGACGAUGCCCAGGUCCUAGAAAGAAACUUUGGCUUGUGAUGUCUCCUGGCACCAUCUGGUGUUAAAGGUAAAACAAUCCCUAAAGACUCCAGGGAUCGAACUGCAGAUUCCAGGUCCAAGGGUAGGCAAGCCUCAGGCAGCAGCCAGACGUGGAGGGGCC